AUUGAACGCUGGCGGCAGGCCUAACUCAUGCAAGUCGAACGAGUGGCGGACGGGUGAGUAAUGUCUGGGAUACUGCCCGAUGGAGGGGGAUAACUACUGGAACCUGUAGCUAAUACCGCAUACCAUCUGAUGUUCCCAGAUGGGAUUAGCUAGUAGGUGCGGUAAAGGCUCACCUAGGCGACGAUCCCUAGCUGGUCUGAGAGGAUGACCAGCCACACUGGAACUGAGAGACGGUCCAGACUCCUACGGGAGGCAGCAGUGGGGAAUAUUGCACAAUGGACGCAAGCCUGAUGCAGCCAUGCCGCGUGUAUGAAGAAGACCGUCGGGUUGUAAAGUACUUUCAGCAGGGAGGCGUUACCCGGAGAAGAAGAACCGGCUAACUCCGUGCCAGCAGCCGCGGUAAUAC
rnacentral:rRNA from 1 species